rnacentral:misc_RNA from 1 species
GCAUGGCUUGCCAAAUUAAUAUUGUUGAUGAGCAGCAUGAAAAUCAGUAUGUAAAUACCAUGGACGACAAUGUAUUUGAAAAGAAUCAUAUGGACAUAUAUAUCGCUGGAGAGCAGUUAAGGGCUAGCAUGCACGCCGAGGGCAGUCUCAUCGCACAGCGGCAGCAACAGACAAUCACAUUCAACGUGUGCUUCGUUGGAUUCGAAACCGUCGAGUGGCUGGUGAAAGCGCGGCACGUAGACUCGCGACGCUCAGGCGUUAAGCUGCUGCGCAUCCUUGGUGACAACAACAUCAUCCACCACGUGACAGAUCAACAGUCAUUUUUCGACGACAACAACUUGUACCGGUUUCGAAGAGACGACGCAACAUUUUCAAAAUUUGAUGAUUUGAGUGUUUUCUUCAAAGGACUUAAGCUAUACAGCAGGUUGGUUACGGAGCCUAAUCGUGUGUUGAGGGUGCAUGAGGAGAACGGUGUUAGCUAUGAGAACUCGUUCUCUGGACAAGGCCUGCUAGACUGGAUGGUAAUCGAGCACAUGGUGAUGAACCGACAUCAAGCUCUAACCGACUGCAGGUCUCUCCUCGCUAGUAAUGUCAUACACCACGUUACACAUCAGCAUCAUCUAAAGGACGACAACCUCCUGUAUCAAUUUAGCGUCAACCUGAAGAAACAUAUACGCCACUCGGACAUUGUGAGCCGGUAUUCACUGAGAGGCACGCUGAAUUUUAAGGAGCUGGACGGCGCAUCUGAGACUAGAACCACAGAGUCAACGCUGAGGAAAAUCUCACAGAUUUCUUUGGGCAGCUUCUUAUUUAGCUCAGACAAUGGGAAUGAGCCUGCUGCGAGGAAAAACAGCCAGAGUCCUGACAGUAGGCAGACAAGAAUGUUUCCCUCUCCGGAGAGGACCCAAUCCGUGCCUCCCCAGAGGAGAACUCGCAAGUUGUCCCUCCCCGAGAAUCUGGUUGCCCCGGAGGGAGAGAGACGGAGAAAAAUAUCCGCUAUGCCGUCCUUUCCGUUCUUCAAUUAUCAACAAGCGGGUUCUGCGAGGUUUGCAUUUCCAAAAUCAGCAUCGGCAAGGAACAUUGAGUGCUAUAGCUCAUGCGGUGAUGAAAGUGAUGGUGAUGAUUACAGCACUGAUGAUACUGAAGAGGGCGAGACCGACAAGUUUCCUAGCACUGUACCAACAAGAAAAGCCAGGACCAAAGGCUCUGUUUUGCCAAAAUAUGAUUAUCAGCGACUCUGUAGGAUAUGGCUUUGUGAUCCGUGGUGAUGGGCCUACGUUUGUGCAGACGGUUGACCCAAAGGGACCUGGAUAUGAAGCUGGCUUGAGGGUCAAGCAGUACCUUUACGAAGUGAACGGAGAGAAGGUUGUGCAGCUGCCCCACCAGCAAGUAGCGAAGCAGGUCAUCAACAGUUCGAU